rnacentral:rRNA from 1 species
CAAAUUGAGAGUUUGAUCCUGGCUCAGGAUGAACGCUGGCGGCGUGCCUAAUACAUGCAAGUCGAACGCUUUGUGGUUCAACUGAUUUGAAGAGCUUGCUCAGAUAUGACGAUGGACAUUGCAAAGAGUGGCGAACGGGUGAGUAACACGUGGGAAACCUACCUCUUAGCAGGGGAUAACAUUUGGAAACAGAUGCUAAUACCGUAUAACAAUGACAACCGCAUGGUUGUUAUUUGAAAGAUGGUUCUGCUAUCACUAAGAGAUGGUCCCGCGGUGCAUUAGCUAGUUGGUAAGGUAAUGGCUUACCAAGGCGAUGAUGCAUAGCCGAGUUGAGAGACUGAUCGGCCACAAUGGGACUGAGACACGGCCCAUACUCCUACGGGAGGCAGCAGUAGGGAAUCUUCCACAAUGGGCGAAAGCCUGAUGGAGCAACGCCGCGUGUGUGAUGAAGGGUUUCGGCUCGUAAAACACUGUUGUAAGAGAAGAAUGACAUUGAGAGUAACUGUUCAAUGUGUGACGGUAUCUUACCAGAAAGGAAUGGCUAAAUACGUGCCAGCAGCCGCGGUAAUACGUAUGUUCCAAGCGUUAUCCGGAUUUAUUGGGCGUAAAGCGAGCGCAGACGGUUAUUUAAGUCUGAAGUGAAAGCCCUCAGCUCAACUGAGGAAUUGCUUUGGAAACUGGAUGACUUGAGUGCAGUAGAGGAAAGUGGAACUCCAUGUGUAGCGGUGAAAUGCGUAGAUAUAUGGAAGAACACCAGUGGCGAAGGCGGCUUUCUGGACUGUAACUGACGUUGAGGCUCGAAAGUGUGGGUAGCAAACAGGAUUAGAUACCCUGGUAGUCCACACCGUAAACGAUGAGUGCUAGGUGUUUGAGGGUUUCCGCCCUUAAGUGCCGCAGCUAACGCAUUAAGCACUCCGCCUGGGGAGUACGACCGCAAGGUUGAAACUCAAAGGAAUUGACGGGGACCCGCACAAGCGGUGGAGCAUGUGGUUUAAUUCGAAGCAACGCGAAGAACCUUACCAGGUCUUGACAUCCCUUGACAACUCCAGAGAUGGAGCGUUCCCUUCGGGGACAAGGUGACAGGUGGUGCAUGGUUGUCGUCAGCUCGUGUCGUGAGAUGUUGGGUUAAGUCCCGCAACGAGCGCAACCCUUAUUACUAGUUGCCAGCAUUCAGUUGGGCACUCUAGUGAGACUGCCGGUGACAAACCGGAGGAAGGUGGGGAUGACGUCAAAUCAUCAUGCCCCUUAUGACCUGGGCUACACACGUGCUACAAUGGCGUAUACAACGAGUUGCCAACCCGCGAGGGUGAGCUAAUCUCUUAAAGUACGUCUCAGUUCGGAUUGUAGGCUGCAACUCGCCUACAUGAAGUCGGAAUCGCUAGUAAUCGCGGAUCAGCACGCCGCGGUGAAUACGUUCCCGGGUCUUGUACACACCGCCCGUCACACCAUGAGAGUUUGUAACACCCAAAGCCGGUGGGGUAACCUUCGGGAGCCAGCCGUCUAAGGUGGGACAGAUGAUUAGGGUGAAGUCGUAACAAGGUAGCCGUAGGAGAACCUGCGGCUGGAUCACCUCCUUU